rnacentral:misc_RNA from 1 species
GAUGAAGAACGCAGCGAAAUGCGAUAAGUAAUGUGAAUUGCAGAAUUCAGUGAAUCAUCGAAUCUUUCAACGCACAUUGCGCCCGUCAGUAUUCUGGCGGGCAUGCCUGUUCGAGCGUCAUUACGCCCCUCAAGUCCCCUGUGGACUUGGUGUUGGGGAUCGGCGAGGCUGGUUUUCCAGCACAGCCGUCCCUUAAAUUAAUUGGCGGUCUCGCCGUGGCCCUCCUCUGCGCAGUAGUAAAACACUCGCAACAGGAGCCCGGCGCGGUCCACUGCCGUAAAACCCCCCAACUUUUUAUAGUUGACCUCGAAUCAGGUAGGACUACCCGCUGAACUUAAGCAUAUCAAUAAGCGGAGGA